UAUUAAUCUCACAUAUCUAUUAUAUAUAUAUGUAUUAUAUAAUGUAUAUGUAAAUUUGUAUAUAUAUACAGAUUUUGUUGUCUUACAUCUUUAAUUAGAAUGAAUUCAAUUUUCGUAAUAACGUAACAUCAUACAUCGAUCAACCAACGCACGAUGUUAAAAAAUGGCAAUCCGCUCAAUUUAUGAAUCACGAUGAAAUCACCGCCGUGAGAUCUAGUCUAAAAAAGAACGAUAAUGCUUAUAGUCAGCUUCCUAGCAACAUAAAAUCCGGUGCUAUUAAAUGGCACGUUUACUGAGUCAUCGACUCUUCAGAAAUUCGCAUCCGAUGACGCAGGUGGAAAACACAUCGAUGCUUUUAAAUGGAUGUCAAGGCGUAUCUAAAUACGUUUUGCUCCAACUGUACCGCGAUUCCUCGGCGCUGAAAAUAAAAAAGAAAGGAUAGGAAAAAACACGCAGUUUUGGAUCACGGUUCUCGCACAACAACUCCCGAACCGAACCGAACCGAUUCAAAACAACGCAACACAAUUUUCGUCUUCUUCCUGGUCGCCGCUGUCAGCUUUCGAUUCUCUUAAAUCGAUAACUUAUUUUUUACUAAGUUUUGUUCGAUGGCAAUAUAAAUAUCGUGUAAAAUAUGCUAAAGUGACAAUCAUUAUUCAAGAAGCAAGUAAACGAGGAUUGGGUUUGAAUCUCAAUCGUAAUUAUACGUUUUUGAUAAACAGAACAGCCGAAAUCAUGUCAAUCACGAACAUGUUACGUCUACCGGAAAGUUCUGUCCGUUCCGGUUACGGCAAGUUUCAACAAGCAUGCGCGUAUUCGUUAAAAAUAAUAUACAAAUUGCAAUCACCCUGUCAACAUGUCAUAAAUAAUGAUGAAAAUUGUAUUAUUCAAUAAAAUUUAUUCAAGGUAUGAGAAAUUUAUUAUUUUGUUCUAUUUUAAAAACGGACAGAACUUUCCGGUAGAUCUAAUAUUUUUUUCAGGAGGGACUGUACAAUAUCAUUUGUACCACGUUCAAUUUUGAUUACUUUUAUCUGCAAAAAUAUCAUAUAUGUUCUUAAAAUGUAAAUAAAUAUAUCUGGGUGCAAAACUCUUUAUAAACAUUCCUUAUAGAUUAAAAAAAAAAUCCUCAGAAAGAACUAAAAAUUGACGCUCUAGAUUAAAAUACUUCUUUAAACAAAAAAAAAAAAUUAUAAUACAAUUGCGUAAGCCCCUAAGCGCCGCCUAUGUCGCCUCUACAUGGCCGCCACUGUUCACGUGUAACGCGGAUACGCUCAUCUUUCUGUCCGUACUCAACAUUUAUGCGCACUUUAAUCUUACGACCAGAGAUAUAUUCCCAUUACCGCGGUGGAGUGCGCAGAACAUAACUUUGGUUUCCGCGUAGGGAUUCCGCGAGAUAAAAUUUCGGAAAAAAUCUAGAUACAACUUUACCGUGCCCGUGUAAUUUAUUUGCCUUUAUAUUCGCGCAACUUGAUUCCGAUUCUUUUCGUUGCGUUGAGAAGGUCGUUUGGUACCACUUUCGUUCUAUCUUCUCCAACGAAGAAAACAUUAAAUAAAAUCUUCGUUUUCUCGUAUUUCACGUGCAAAUUCAUCGAGCCAUUAUUAUUGUAAUUUUGUUCUACUUCUAUUUAUUUUGCGUUGUAGAUUACGCGGGAUGAAGUAACUUUCGAUACGGUACUUUCACUUUUCUUUGUC